rnacentral:rRNA from 1 species
AUUUGCCAUACCACCCUUAAUACAUCAAAUUGUGUCUGAUAUUGGAAGCUAAGCAAGAUUGGUCUGGUCAGUACUUGGAUGAGAGACUACUGAAUAACACUCAAGAUCUCCAAAUA